UUUCCACUUUUGAAGGCAAUUAUGUUCUCUCUUGUGCACUUUCUUGUCAUAACUGGAGACAAGUGAGCCUAGGAUUAAAUAAACCUGAACUUUGAAGUAUGCAAGUCAGGCUUAUCUUUCAUACAGAGGUAUACAUUACAUCUGGGUGAUCCCUGAUGUUGUGAGAUUGAUUGCAGGAGAUUUGCUGUAUCAGAAGCAGUCUGAGAAGAGCAGAAGCAACGUCAUGAAUUGUAUUCUGGAAUAUGACUGGAAGGGAGGGGCAAUUGCCGGGAGGAUGGAAUGUUAAGGUGUACCAAAACAUUCUGUCUGUAACACAAGGAUCCUUGCAGGCACGGUAUGAUACAUUUUGACUGUUAUGGAAAUGAGGAGAGGCAACCUUUGUCUGAGUUGCUGUCUCUUGACUGGAGACCACUGGACCCUAGGGAUAUGGUGAAAAAGUUACACCUCACCGACACCAUAACUGAGGACUCGGCUGGAAACCUCAUUUUCCAGCCCUUGAUUGAUCUAUCGAAGCAUAUGUUUGUCUUGCUGUGCUGCCCUGGUGAUCUUCCUUCUGGUACUCCUACCAGAGAGACCAACAUUCCAAGCUGCUUUUCGCUAUGGACAGAUUCUCCUCUUGUCUCUUCAGCCUAAGCCAAGGAUUCAGCUCUCUCUCUCUUUGGCCACCAAACUACUCCACCUGCCUCUCAGGUCUUCCUUCUUUUUCCCUGAUCCUCUUCCUGUGCUGUCGUCAUGUUCUUCUUCUUGUUCACUCCACAAACACCAAGUACCAUCAGCUCAAACUCUCCAACCAAUUAACCCUUCUCUGCUGACCGGCACCUAGCCUUAUAUACCCUUCUGGCCCAUCUUGUCCUUUCCCAGCCAAUCACACUGUCUAACUAAAAAUUCUAAACCUGCACCCACCAUCUGAAACCUGUGUAUCUUCUACUCUUCUUUUGCAUACUGAGAAUUCUAACUCACAGCUGUCAGUUGUGGCCCAACAUGACAGUUAAACUAACUUUAACUGGACCAGACAGAAAACUUCCCACAUCAAAUAAUUAUGCUGUACAUUACAAUACAAAUGUCAGAACAGAUUGCAUAAUACUGAAAAUUAAAAUGUAAUUCAAGUGGACAUGACUUCUUUACAGUCUGUUUGAAGUAUUUGAUAGUACAGCAGCCAUUUAAGUGUUAAUAUUUGUUUAGUUUUAUGCCAAUGAUCAGAGAUAAUCUAUAACUUUAAAAGAAAUAUAUUGGGCAACUGGAUCUGGCAGGUCGGCCAAAUUCUUAUCUUUCCCUGCAUGAGUCAACUUUUUUAUGAUCCAAGGAUUCUUAUGUUCGUCCAGCUUCUCUUCUUGAACUCCUGUGCUCAUUUGGGUGGGAGAAACAUUCUAGAGAAGGAAAAAGUCAUGUUAGGUUUGAUUCCUCUGCCAGUCUGGAGAAAUACCUCCAAAUGCUUUCACCCACAGGAUAUACAAAGGAUGCUAUCUGGUAUUUUGGUGUCCAUGUCCUUAUCACAUCAACAGCCAAAACAAAGCAAUUGCAUCUCUCAUAUUCAAGGCUAUAUGUACUCACUGUAAAGAGAGAGGGAAAAUGGUUGUGUCUAUGUAAUCCAAAUUUAGCCAAGAAAACCUGAAUCCUGCUGCUUGCUUAAAAAAUUCAAGUAGUGCAAAUGUAUGUAAUUUUCUCUUAUUUUGCCUAAUUUAUUUUGGUUUUACCAUGAUUGGGAGUCAUGAUGGGGAGAAAUAGAAUAAAGCAGGGCACUAAGAUUCCCCUUCCAAUUACUGGAUUGGAAAAACAAUGCCUGGACUGGAAAA